CGAGCUAGAGCUUGAAUUAAGCAUUUUAUUUACACUAAAAAGUUAGUUGUGGGAUUCAACUUAGCUUGA
rnacentral:tRNA from 1 species